GAUGAACGCUGGCGGCGUGCCUAAUACAUGCAAGUCGAGCGAACGGACGAGAAGCUUCCUUUUCUGAUGUUAGCGGCGGACGGGUGAGUAACACGUGGAUAACCUACCUAUAAGACUGGGAUAACUUCGGGAAACCGGAGCUAAUACCGGAUAAUAUUUUGAACCGCAUGGUUCAAAAGUGAAAGACGGUCUUGCUGUCACUUAUAGAUGGAUCCGCGCUGCAUUAGCUAGUUGGUAAGGUAACGGCUUACCAAGGCAACGAUGCAUAGCCGACCUGAGAGGGUGAUCGGCCACACUGGAACUGAGACACGGUCCAGACUCCUACGGGAGGCAGCAGUAGGGAAUCUUCCGCAAUGGGCGAAAGCCUGACGGAGCAACGCCGCGUGAGUGAUGAAGGUCUUCGGAUCGUAAAACUCUGUUAUUAGGGAAGAACAUAUGUGUAAGUAACUGUGCACAUCUUGACGGUACCUAAUCAGAAAGCCACGGCUAACUACGUG
rnacentral:rRNA from 1 species